GAUGAACGCUAGCUACAGGCUUAACACAUGCAAGUCGAGGGACCGGCGCACGGGUGAGUCACACGUAUCCAACCUGCCCUUUACUCGGGGAUAGCCUUUCGCAAGAAAGAUUAAUACCCGAUAUAAAGGAUGGGGAUGCGUUCCAUUAGGUUGUUGGUGAGGUAACGGCUCACCAAGCCUUCGAUGGAUGGGGGUUCUGAGAGGAAGUUCCCCGACAGUGGAACUGAGGCACGGUCCAAACUCGUACGGGAGGCAGCAGAGAGGAAUAUUGGUCAAUGAGCGCUAGCGUGAACCAGCCAAGUAUCGUGAAGGAUGAAGUCUUAUGGGUGUUAAACUACUUUUAUAGAAGAAUAGGUAUUAGAUGAAGAAGGAUCGGCUAACUCCGUGCCAGCAGCCGCGGUAAUUC
rnacentral:rRNA from 1 species